rnacentral:tRNA from 1 species
GGGGUUGUGGCUCAGGGGUAGAGUGCUCAUCUAGUGUGCGAGGUGCUGGGUUCAAACCUCAGCACCACA